UUCUGCUCCUAAUUUUCCCUAUACCCUAAUUCUCUCUCUCAAUUCAUUUCUGCCUUAGUACAUUUUCCUCCAAAAAGUUCACCAUAAUCAUUUUCCUCCAAGCCCCACACCAUCUUCUUGUUGGUCUUCCCUUGCGUUGUGUUCGUCGUCGAGGCGUCGAGACGUUAUGUUCGCUCUCGGAAUUCCUCGCAGCUGCGAGUGUCUCCAUUAACGUCAGGGAGACUGUCUCACAGUAGUGAACCUUUGAGCGGUGGUGCUUCUUUAACUGGAACGGACAGUCCACCAAUCUCUCCUUCUGACGAGUUUGACGAUGUUGUCAAGGUAUCUGAUCAAGGGAGUGGGCCAAACAAUGGAUGUAAUGAAGAAAAAAAUUAGAUAUUGUUACUGAAUACUUUUAUGAGUCAUACUUUUAGUAUUGAACAUCUAUAUUGAACAUAUGUAAUGAACCUCUUUCUUUUUAAUUUUUAUGUAUGAACAAUUAGUUGUAUGAAUGAUAUUAGGUUGAACAAUGUAGUUUAUUUUAUACAAUAUUACUAAAUUUUAGUUUA